UACGGAGGGGGCUAGCGUUGUUCGGAAUUACUGGGCGUAAAGCGCACGUAGGCGGCUUUGUAAGUUAGAGGUGAAAGCCCGGGGCUCAACUCCGGAAUUGCCUUUAAGACUGCAUCGCUAGAAUUGUGGAGAGGUAAGUGGAAUUCCGAGUGUAGAGGUGAAAUUCGUAGAUAUUCGGAAGAACACCAGUGGCGAAGGCGACUUACUGGACCGGCAUUGACGCUGAGGAGGCGAAAGCUAGGGGAGCAAACGGG
rnacentral:rRNA from 1 species